rnacentral:rRNA from 1 species
GGCCCGGGCGGGGUGCUAUACAUGCAAGUCGAGCGGACGGAUGGGAGCUUGCUCCCUGAAGUCAGCGGCGGACGGGUGAGUAACACGUGGGCAACCUGCCUGUAAGACUGGGAUAACUCCGGGAAACCGGGGCUAAUACCGGAUAACUCUUUUCCUCACAUGAGGAAAAGCUGAAAGAUGGUUUCGGCUAUCACUUACAGAUGGGCCCGCGGCGCAUUAGCUAGUUGGUGAGGUAACGGCUCACCAAGGCCACGAUGCGUAGCCGACCUGAGAGGGUGAUCGGCCACACUGGGACUGAGACACGGCCCAGACUCCUACGGGAGGCAGCAGUAGGGAAUCUUCCGCAAUGGACGAAAGUCUGACGGAGCAACGCCGCGUGAGUGAUGAAGGUUUUCGGAUCGUAAAACUCUGUUGUCAGGGAAGAACAAGUACCGGAGUAACUGCCGGUACCUUGACGGUACCUGACCAGAAAGCCACGGCUAACUACGUGCCAGCAGCCGCGGUAAU